CGAGCGCACGGAUUCGGCCGGACCUUUCCUUCUGGGGAGCCCGAUGCCCUUUACUGGGCGUCGCGGGGAACCAGGACUUUUACCUUGAAAAAAUUAGAGUGUUCAAAGCAGGCAUUUGCUCGAAUACAUUAGCAUGGAAUAAUAGAAUAGGACAGAGGUUCUAUUUUGUUGGUUUCUAGGACCGCUGUAAUGAUUAAUAGGGAUAGUCGGGGGCGUCCGUAUUCAAUUGUCAGAGGUGAAAUUCUUGGAUUUAUUGAAGACGAACUACUGCGAAAGCAUUCGCCAAGGAUGUUUUCAUUAAUCAGUGAACGAAAGUUAGGGGAUCGAAGACGAUCAGAUACCGUCGUAGUCUUAACCAUAAACUAUGCCGACUAGGGAUCGGACGGUGGUUCUUUUAUGCCCCGUUCGGCACCUUACGAGAAAUCAAAGUGUUUGGGCUCGGGGGGGAGUAUGGUCGCAAGGCUGAAACUUAAAGAAAUUGACGGAAGGGCACCACAAGGCGUAAACGCCGUAGGAAAUCUGCGCCUCACAGGCACCCCGACUCCAAAGGGGUGGUGGCAAGUCCUGGCCGGACCCGACCAACUGGUCGUCCGGCCGAAAAGCCUAGUCAGCCCGCCGGCUGGCGAGACCCUCAAAUUGCGUGAAAACCCUGACACCCGCUCCUACCGCCGGGAGGACGACGAAGUCCUCCGCGGCACCAUGGGUAACGCCCACGGGUACGGU
rnacentral:rRNA from 1 species